GUGGAUUAGAUACCCUGGUAGUCCACGCCGUAAACGUUGGGCGCUAGGUGUGGGGAACCUUCCACGUUCUCCGUGCCGCAGCUAACGCAUUAAGCGCCCCGCCUGGGGAGUACGGCCGCAAGGCUAAAACUCAAAGGAAUUGACGGGGGCCCGCACAAGCGGCGGAGCAUGCGGCUUAAUUCGACGCAACGCGAAGAACCUUACCAAGGCUUGACAUAUAGGGAAAUCUCAUAGAGAUAUGAGGUCCGCAAGGGCCCUAUACAGGUGGUGCAUGGUCGUCGCCAACU
rnacentral:rRNA from 1 species